rnacentral:rRNA from 1 species
GACGAACGCUGGCGGCGUGCCUAAUACAUGCAAGUAGAACGCUGAAGGAGGAGCUUGCUUCUCUGGAUGAGUUGCGCACGGGUGAGUAACGCGUAGGUAACCUGCCUGGUAGCGGGGGAUAACUAUUGGAAACGAUAGCUAAUACCGCAUAAGAGUAGAUGUUGCAUGACAUUUGCUUAAAAGGUGCAAUUGCAUUACUACCAGAUGGUCCUGCGUUGUAUUAGCUAGUUGGUGGGGUAACGGCUCACCAAGGCGACGAUACAUAGCCGACCUGAGAGGGUGAUCGGCCACACUGGGACUGAGACACGGCCCAGACUCCUACGGGAGGCAGCAGUAGGGAAUCUUCGGCAAUGGACGGAAGUCUGACCGAGCAACGCCGCGUGAGUGAAGAAGGUUUUCGGAUCGUAAAGCUCUGUUGUAAGAGAAGAACGAGUGUGAGAGUGGAAAGUUCACACUGUGACGGUAUCUUACCAGAAAGAGACGGCUAACUACGUG